rnacentral:lncRNA from 1 species
AACGUUAUGGAUGUGCAAGUACUACAAGAAAAGGGCUAAAGUGUAUGGCCAGUUUUUUUUAUUUUUUAUCUGAAACAUGGAAUUUCAAAACAACCAAGCAAAAUGCCGAGGAGAAGUACAAAGCCCACAAAACAAGAAGGCGCAAACGUACGACAAAAACAUGUCAAGAAGUCCUCACAGCUGCUACCAUUAGUCAUUCCUUGGGGUUGGUGGCAUGGAAACCAUCCUUGUCUAGAAUAUGCAUUAGAGAGGAUGGGGUCGGUUGACCCAUACGUGUAUGGCCAGUUUCUUCAUUGGUUUCUAAACCUAAUGCGGAUGGGUUGAAAACAGCUAAUAAAAAAGAAUAAAGAUAAGAAACAUGUUUUAAAAGUAAAUAUUGAAAGUACAAUAAGAGAGACAAAAAAAUAGAAGAUGGAAAAUAAGAAUAUUUACGAAUUAUGGAAGAUGGAAUCAUACACAUCAACCAGCUGUC